rnacentral:rRNA from 1 species
AGGACGAACGCUGGCGGCGUGCUUAACACAUGCAAGUCGAGCGGUAAGGCUCCUUCGGGAGUACACGAGCGGCGAACGGGUGAGUAACACGUGAGCAAUCUGCCCUUCUCUUCGGAAUAACCAUUGGAAACGAUGGCUAAUGCCGAAUACGACCUCCUUUCGCAUGAUCGGAGGUGGAAAGCUCCGGCGGAGAAGGAUGAGCUCGCGGCCUAUCAGCUAGUUGGCGGGGUAACGGCCCACCAAGGCGACGACGGGUAGCCGGCCUGAGAGGGUGACCGGCCACACUGGGACUGAGACACGGCCCAGACUCCUACGGGAGGCAGCAGUGGGGAAUAGUUGGACAAUGGGCGAAAGGCCUAGGAUACCAGCAACGCCGCGUGAAGGAUGGACGGUCCGUUCGGGUUGUAAACCGUCUUCGAGCGAGGACGGAAGACGAAAGUGACGGUACUGACGACGAAGAAGGACCGGCCAACGUAACGUGCCGAGCCGAGCCGAC